rnacentral:rRNA from 1 species
UACGGGGGGGGCAAGCGUUGUUCGGAAUUACUGGGCGUAAAGGGUUCGUAGGUGGCUUGUUAAGUCAGACGUGAAAUCCCUCGGCUCAACCGGGGAACUGCGUCUGAGACUGAUGAGCUUGAGUGCAGGAGAGGAGACUGGAAUUUACGGUGUAGCGGUGAAAUGCGUAGAUAUCGUAAGGAAGACCAGUGGCGAAGGCGGGUCUCUGGACAGUUCCUGACGCUGAGGCACGAAGGUCAGGGGAGCAAACGGG